GACGAACGCUGGCGGCGUGCUUAACACAUGCAAGUCGAACGAAGUGGCGAACGGGUGAGUAAUACGGGAGUAACUGCACUCCUUUUUGGAAUAAGCCUUGGAAACGGGGUCUAAUACCGAAUAAAGGGGGAUGGCUCGCGGCCUAUCGGCUUGUUGGUGGGGUAGUGGCCUACCAAGGCGACGAAGGUUAGCCGGCCUGAGAGAGCGCCCGGCCACAUUGGGCGGAGAUACGGCCCAAACUCCUACGGGAGGCAGCAGUGGGGAAUAUUGCACAAGGGGGGAAACCCUGAUGCAGCAACGCCGCGUGCGUGAUGACGGCCGUCGGGUUGUAAACCGCUUUCAGCCAUGACGCGGGAGUGGCAGAAGAAGCACCGGCUAACUACGUGCCAGCAGCCGCGGUAAUUC
rnacentral:rRNA from 1 species